GAUGAACGCUGGCGGCGUGCCUAAUACAUGCCAGUCGAGCGAACAGACGAGGAGCUUGCUCCUCUGACGUUAGCGGCGGACGGGUGAGUAACACGUGGAUAACCUACCUAUAAUACUGGGAUGACUUCGGGAAACCGGAGCUAAUACUGGAUCAUAUAUUGAACCGCAUGGUUCAAUAGUGAAAGACGGUUUUGCUGUCACUUAUAGCUGAUUCCGCGUCGGAUUAGCUAGUUGGUAAGGUAACGGCCCACCAAGGCGACGAUGCGUAGCCGACCUGAGAGGAGGAUCAGCCACACUGGAACUGAGACACGGUCCCGACUCCUACGGGAGGCAGCAGUGGGGAAUAUUGGACAAUGGGCGCAAGCCUGAUCCAGCCAUACCGCGUGGGUGAAGAAGGCCUUCGGGUUGUAAAGCCCUUUUGUUGGGAGAGAAAAGCAGCAGGUUAAUACCCUGCUGUUCUGACGGUACCCAAAGAAUAAGCACCGGCUAACUUCGUG
rnacentral:rRNA from 1 species